AUGCCAUUUUCGAAGGAUGUCGAGGCUGACUACGAAGAAAGGUACCACCAUGCAAAUGAAGAAAAUCUCCUGCUGAAAAAAACAAUAAAUCAGCAGCUAAAAUUAAUCAAAAAAUUAAAUGCGUCUCUGCAGUGGUAUGGAAGAAAAGACUCAAAGGACGAUGAAAGGUCGCCCUCUCAAGAUCCCGGCAGAGAGUGCCGUUUGCGAGAGUUAGAAACUUCCAAUAAAAUCUUAUCAAAUAAGGUCAAAGUGUUGAAACAGCAGCUGAUAUCACUCUCCUCAUUUCAAGCAACACCAAAGCCCCCUACUUCACGAGGUGUGUCGCCAUCCAAGGAGUCUGUCCACUCUUUGCCCUCCAAAAGGCCGAAAUCAUCCACCACGCCAUCUGAUCAACGGAAUCAAGCGGAGUCAAUGAUGAGCACAGCCUUGGAGGAAAAAAUGAAUGGGCAACCUCUUUUCACAAUUGACGAAGACUUGGAAGGCCUCAGAGGGGGAAGUCAGUUGACGGUAUUUGAUGGUGAUCCUGGAAUGCGCUCAGAUUCGGCAGAAAGCGUCUGUGAUAUUUCUAGUAAACUUUUAGUCAAUGUUGAAGUCAUUCGAAUGAAGAGAAUGAUGAAAUGGCAGAAUGCUCAGCUGACAACUUUAUUAACCUGUGUUGACAAUUUGAAUCAAGAAAGUCAAUCGAUGAAGGAGACGAUGAACAGACUAUCCGAGGAAAAUAGUAAGUUUUUCUUCGGGGCCAGCUCUAAAUCAUGUAGCUACAGGGGUUUUUGCAAGCAUUGUGCAAAGUCACAGGGGAAUGGAGAGAGAGGAUGCUCUGUGCAAUGA
rnacentral:lncRNA from 1 species